UCUGGCUGUUGUGGUGUGCAAAUUUUUGUGCAUUGCCUUUUGCUGCACUGCAACACUUUACAGA
rnacentral:miRNA from 11 species